UGGGGAAUUUUGGACAAUGGGGGAAACCCUGAUCCAGCCAUCCCGCGUGUGCGAUGAAGGCCUUCGGGUUGUAAAGCACUUUUGGCAGGAAAGAAACGUCGCGGGUUAAUACCCCGCGAAACUGACGGUACCUGCAGAAUAAGCACCGGCUAACUACGUGCCAGCAGCCGCGGUAAUACGUAGGGUGCAAGCGUUAAUCGGAAUUACUGGGCGUAAAGCGUGCGCAGGCGGUUCGGAAAGAAAGAUGUGAAAUCCCAGAGCUUAACUUUGGAACUGCAUUUUUAACUACCGGGCUAGAGUGUGUCAGAGGGAGGUGGAAUUCCGCGUGUAGCAGUGAAAUGCGUAGAUAUGCGGAGGAACACCGAUGGCGAAGGCAGCCUCCUGGGAUAACACUGACGCUCAUGCACGAAAGCGUGGGGAGCAAACAGGAUUAGAUACCCUGGUAGUCCACGCCCUAAACGAUGUCAACUAGCUGUUGGGGCCUUCGGGCCUUGGUAGCGCAGCUAACGCGUG
rnacentral:rRNA from 1 species